rnacentral:rRNA from 1 species
GACGAACGCUGGCGGCGUGCCUAAUACAUGCAAGUCGAACGCAGUGGGGACGGGUGAGUAAAACGUGGGUAACCUCCCAUCAGAGGGGAUAACACUUGGAAACAGGUGCUAAACCGAUACUGAUGGAUGGCCCCGCGGUGCAUUAGCUAGUUGGUGAGGUACCGGCUCACCAAGGCCACGAUGCAUAGCCGACCUGGGAGGGUGAUCGGCCACACUUGGACUGAGACACGGCCCAGACUCCUACGUGAGGGAGCAGUAGGGAAUCUUAGGCAAUGGGCGAAAGGCUGACCGAGCAACGCCGCGUGAGUGAAGAAGGUUUUCGUAUCGUAAAACACGGUUGGUAGAGAAGCGGUACCGAACCAGAAAGCCACGGCUAACUACGUGCCAGCAGCCGCGGUAAUUC